rnacentral:rRNA from 1 species
GACGAACCGAGCGAACGUUGUUCGGAAUAACUGGGCUUAAAGGGCGCGUAGGCGGUCGUGACAAGUCACUUGUGAAAUCUCCGGGCUUAACUCGGAACGGUCAAGUGAUACUGUCGGACUAGAGUACAGAAGGGGCAACUGGAAUUCUCGGUGUAGCGGUGAAAUGCGUAGAUAUCGAGAGGAACACCUGCGGCGAAGGCGGGUUGCUGGGCUGAUACUGACGCUGAGGCGCGAAAGCCAGGGGAGCGAACGGG